GCGAAAUAUGAGUUCUGUUUUUCCGUACGAAGGCAUAGUCAACACAAUGCAGUAUGCUGGGAGCACAAAACGAAGGCAUCCGUGGAAGGAACAGCAAUGCUGGGAGCAGGCUGUUCGCAGAAAGUGAUCAAGCGCGCAAGCCACCAGCCAGCUGACGCAGAGCCCAGAGGGCGUUCGCCACCAACAUCCGCACGGCGCAGCUGCAGAGAUGAUUUCUGCCAUGGAGCAGCAUCCGCGGCUCCAUAACAUCAUCCUUCCAUCAUUCUCCAUCAUCAUUCCCGGAGCUCACCCGGCGGCGGAGCCGGCGACGCCCGCGCCCCGCCUGGCC